rnacentral:rRNA from 1 species
AAAUUGAAGAGUUUGAUCAUGGCUCAGAUUGAACGCUGGCGGCAGGCUUAACACAUGCAAGUCGAGCGGAAACGAGUUAUCUGAACCUUCGGGGGACGAUAACGGCGUCGAGCGGCGGACGGGUGAGUAAUGCCUAGGAAAUUGCCCUGAUGUGGGGGAUAACCAUUGGAAACGAUGGCUAAUACCGCAUGAUGCCUACGGGCCAAAGAGGGGGACCUUCGGGCCUCUCGCGUCAGGAUAUGCCUAGGUGGGAUUAGCUAGUUGGUGAGGUAAGGGCUCACCAAGGCGACGAUCCCUAGCUGGUCUGAGAGGAUGAUCAGCCACACUGGAACUGAGACACGGU